rnacentral:antisense_RNA from 1 species
CGGCUGCAGGACGCAGCCCAGCAGGAGAAGCUUUUCCCUCCAUUCUUUCAAGGAAUCUUGCUCUGUCACCCAGGCUGGAGUGAAGUGGCCCAAUCUCGGCUUACCACAACCUCUGCCUUCCAGGUUCAAGCUAUUCUCCUGCCUCAGCCUCCCAAGUAGUUGAGAUUACAGAGAGAUAUGCCCAGGAUGGGGCUGAAUAAAAAGCUAAUAAUAAUAGCCACCACCUAUGGAGAGCUUCUCUUGGACCACGCAUUCUGCUAAGUCCUUCUCCUGUAUAAGGACCAGUUGUGCCCAGAGAACUUCUUUGUCUCCUCUAACCGUGGGAUAAAAGGAGAUUUCCACAAGAGCGGCUCAGGGACGCAGCCUAUCUCUUAAGAAGGAGGCUCUGAGAGGGACAAGACCCUGAAUGCAGUGCGUGGCCACAAGGCAGUUUCAAUAUGCCCAUGUCAGGCAGAGGAUGGUUCAGUGGCCUCUGACCCAGCUAACAUUUCACGAACUUUACUCCUGGUCCCGCUCCCAAAUUAGACACUGGAGAUAAUGGAUCACUAUACUGCACUGAAGACUCGGAAGGGUUGAGCCGCUGGAGCCACGCAAAUAUUCAGACACCUCUUCCGCCCCAGGUCACUCUACUCCCCCACGCUGCCUCCCACACCCAUCCGGUUGUGCGGGACACUCCCCGCGUUUCUUCAGGGAGUCUCAUCGGGCUCCCUCCUUGUUCAAUAAAGGUGAAGGGUGUGGGGUUUUCUGUGCAUACGCUC